rnacentral:rRNA from 1 species
AUUGAACGCUGGCGGCAGGCUUAACACAUGCAAGUCGAACGAUGAAACCUAGCUUGCUAGGUGGAUUAGUGGCGGACGGGUGAGUACAACUUAGGAAUCUACCUAUUAGCGGGGGAUAGCUCGGGGAAACUCGAAUUAAUACCGCAUACUCCUUACGAGGGAAAGGGGCCUGACCACUAAAUUUAAUUUAUAGUGUAUUUUAUUUACAAUAAUAUAAUUAAGUUAAAUUUAGUGGUCAGGUCUCACUAAUAGAUGAGCCUAAGCAAGAUUAGCUAGUUGGUGGGGUAAAAGCCUACCAAGGCGACGAUCUUUAGCUGGUCUGAGAGGAUGAUCAGCCACACUGGGACUGAGACACGGCCCAGACUCCUACGGGAGGCAGCAGUGGGGAAUAUUGGACAAUGGGGGAAACCCUGAUCCAGCCAUGCCGCGUGUGUGAAGAAGGCCUUUUGGUUGUAAAGCACUUUAAGCAGUGAGGAAAAGCUAGAUGUUAAUACCAUCUAGCCCUGACGUUAACUGCAGAAUAAGCACCGGCUAACUCUGUGCCAGCAGCCGCGGUAAUACAGAGGGUGCAAGCGUUAAUCGGAAUUACUGGGCGUAAAGAGAACGUAGGUGGUCAAUUAAGUCAAAUGUGAAAUCCCUGAGCUCAACUUAGGAACUGCAUUUGAUACUGGUUGACUAGAGUAGGUGAGAGGAGAGUAGAAUUCCAGGUGUAGCGGUGAAAUGCGUAGAUAUCUGGAGGAAUACCGAUGGCGAAGGCAGCUCUCUGGCAUCAUACUGACACUGAGGUUCGAAAGCGUGGGUAGCAAACGGG